rnacentral:tRNA from 1 species
GGGGAUUUAGCUCAGUGAUAGAGCGAUUGCCUAGCAAGCACAAGGACCUGGGUUCGAUCCUCAGCUCCA